CUCAAUUCUCUUUGUUCACUUCAAAGUUUCCUCUUGCUCUACAAGUGCCCACCGGCUCCGAUCAGAACCCACCGGAGAAGACGGUGGUGGCCGGCCGCAGGCAGCGGCGCCACCUUCUUCUCCGGUCAAACACCAAUGUAAAACACAAAAUCCUAAACACUAACCCCCUCUCAUUUUCGCCCUACAAUCCAAAUCCAAACUUGUUUUUCCCAAAAUUAUAACCAAGCGUACGGAUCGACACGCAAUAAGUACGAAAACCAAAAUACAUAAAUCAAAACCUCUCACCACUAAACAAAUCUCAAAUAACGCCGAACACCCUCUACGGCACAAGGUUUCAACAAAAGAAAAUUCAACUAACAGAAACCCUAAUUUUCAAAUUAGGGUUCUCACAACAAAGAAACAAAGCAGUUAGCAUGUGGUUUUCAAUCUAAAUCACAUGGCGAAAGAGGUAGUACAUAAGGAUUGAAGAAAAGAACAAGAACUCAGCGAAUCGGAGCUAAUCUGAGGAAAUCUCUGAUAAAAUAGAUAAGUCUUUUUUCGCUCUUUUAUGCUUUUAAAUAUCCUCAUCCUCUUCUCUUUGCUUUUCGAACCUUGUUGCUGUUUGGCUUAGCUUUAGGUUUAGCUCGAAUUAUCUCAGAGUUUCAAUGAGAAACUCUGAGUAAUUUGUUAGUUUUGAUCUUUAGUGAGGUUUUGGAAUUGGAUUUGGUAGCGUUUCCACAGGGUAUUCUCUUUCUUUUUGUAUGAAUGGAAUAGUUCUUAUUUAUAGGAGUGAACAAGGAAUGAAAUAUACGUGUGAAUUGGUUACAAAUUUGCUGGCUCGUGUGAGUUUUUCUGCCAAAAUGAUGAGCUGGUUCUUUUUAGGAUCAAACCGUUAGAAACUUUUUGUAUGGAUCCCUAAUGUGUGAGUUUUUCUGCCAAAAUGAUGAGCUGGUUCUUUUUAGGAUCAAACCGUUAGAAACUUUUUGUAUGGAUCCCUAAUUUUGUGGGAUUGUACUGGGAGUGGGAGUGUAUAAUGCUUGCUCAAAAUUCUUGCUCAAAAUUCUUUUUCUCUCUCUACACGUUUUGUACCUUGCUGACAUGUUUCUUUUUGUGGUCCCUCUUAAUUUCUGCAGUGUUUGUCAAUUUGCUAUUUGUAUGAAACUUUGGUUUUAGCUUUAAUGUAGAAUUCUGCCAUGAACCUUUAUGUGUUAGUGACGAUCCCCUUUAUUGGUCUUCUUAUUAUUGUUUGCUGGUAUGGUAUAUUAUUGUAAGUAGAUUGUUGUUGACUCAUGGACUAUGGUUGGCAUUUUGCAGGGCUAGUAUAUUUUUGAUGCAAGUUAUAGGAGCAAUUUGAUGAUUGGGGAAAUCGUGCUUGUAAACCCAAGGAGAAUGGUGGAUGACAAGGCUAAUGCAUCGCAUCCUCAUGGUGGUAUUUAGGACAAUGACAACAUAACUCUUCUUUCGAUUGGGAUCCGACCAAGGAUUCAAGUGGAGGCUUAGUGGGGUUGCAACAACAACAACACUGUAUUUUUCCACUGUUGGUACCUUUUGACCUUUUCAUUUCAAAAUGUGGUCCCAACCUUUUUAUGUAUGCCAUAACAAUAGAGUGAUGAUGGCAUGCUAGGAGUAUAAGAAUGCAGUUUUUGGCAUAUGAAUGAUGACGAUGAUGCAAAGGUUAACAGCUCUAACACGAGAGAAUGAAAAGGACAUGGGUUUUAAGCUUUUUAUUUAUGUUCUUUUGUAAUUUUGAAGGGCCAAGUGAUACAAUUAUGAUGUAAUUCUAUUAGGACCAAAAUUGUGUAAUGAACUUGAAAGAAAUUUUGGUUUCUAAGUUUGGAUUAUGAAUGAACUUGAAUUUUGAAUGUAA